rnacentral:pre_miRNA from 2 species
ACGGGUUUCGUGACAGACGAGCAUGAAAUAUGUAUUUGUUCGUUGUCGACGAAACCUGCCU